rnacentral:misc_RNA from 1 species
GCCAUAUUCUUUGUUGGGUCAAGAACACAAGUUUUACAAUUGAGAAAACAACUAAAUACCUUAAGAAAGGUAGUGAGUCCAUUGAUGAUAUUAUGAAAAGAGCUAAAAGCAUUUCUGAUCAUCUUUCUGUGCUCCAAAGUGGUGUCACUGAAGAUACUCUUGUGAAUGAUAUUUUAGAGGGCCUUGACUCAUCUUAUCAUCCUUUUAUCCGAGCAAUUGAGGCUCGCAACAUCCCAAUUACCUAUGAUGACCUUUAUGCUUUACUGCUUAAUGAGGAGGCUCAAUUGAAAAUGGAUUCUUUAUCUAUUGACAGUGUUCCACCGACAGCCCAUUAUGCUCAUAAAACUAGAGGAGGAAAAUCAGGCCGAGGACGUGGACGCAAUAGUUCAACCAAUCAAUUCUCUCAAUCUCGUCAUCUAUCUGCCAUCACCUGUCACAAUUGCAAUGGAACUGCCCAUAUUGUGCGCCAAUGCCCUUUGCCACGCACCGCCUCUUACUCCACCAAUAUUCUGAACCAAUACGAGCCUUCCAUAAAUUUUGCUGCCACUCGAUUUUCCCCACAGCAGACUUGGACGUUGGAUUCUAGCACAAACUAUCAUCUUACGUCUAAUGUCAGAAAUCUUACUCAUUCUACUCCGUACCAUGGCAAUGAUGAAAUUGUCAUCGAAAAUGGUAAUACCAUCCCUAUAACUCACACUAGUUCCUCUCUCAUUUGCUCUUCUCAUCAUUCUUUUUCUCUUCAAAAUGUUUUAUGUUCCCCUGUUAUUCAUCGCAAUUUAAUUUCUGUGAAUGCCUUUGCUAAACAAAAUAAUGUUUCUAUUGCAUUUUAUCCUAACUAUUUUCUUGUGAAGGAUAUCCUCAUGAACAAGAUUCUAUUCCGAGGCCAGAGUAGAGACGGUUUGUACCACAUGCCUCUGCAAGUUCUUCCACCAGUGUCUCCAGAAGUCAAUACUGUCACAUUCAACACAUGGCAUGCUAGGCUCGGACAUGCUAAUUCUCAUCUUAUUAGAUUUCACAUUCUCACGACAAGAUGAUAGUUUGGUCAUUCGUAAUUCUGUCCAUGUGUCCAGUCUAGCUCCAUCAGCACCGCAAGUACCAAUUGCCCAUCAUGUUUCUCCUAUCCCACAUCAAGAUGGAAUUUGGGACCCACUCCCUAUGCUUCACUCCAAAAUGGAAUUUUGGGUCCACCUCCAUGUGUCUCACCAAACCCAUUCCACCUUCUACCUCAUCCAUGCACCAACAAUCAUCUUUCGUCACCCAUAUCUCUUCCACCAAUAACCUUAUCUCCACCAACAGAAACACACACCAAUGCAUUGAUCCCUUGCCAUUCACCAACGAACCAGAAUCCUAGUCCCAACGAGAUCUCUCUAGUUGGUGAUUUAUCCUCUCCUUUUUCCCAAAUGGAUCACCCUUCAUCAUCGUUGCCUCAACCACAAAUAAAACCAUGCCUAGCUGUUCGUACCCAUCCCAUGAUAACAAGAUCACAAAUUGGCUCUCUGAAACCAAAAACUUAUUUUGCUGUGCCCUCCCAUCCACCUAUUCCCACCUCCUACACUCAGGCAGUCCAGAACAAAAAUUGGCGAGAAGCCAUGACAGAAGAAUUAAAUGCCCUCCUUCAAAAUGGCACCUGGGAGCUUGUUCCUCACUCCCUUGCUCAUAAUAUUAUCGAUUGCAAGUGGGUCUUCCGCAUUAAGGAAAAGCUAGACAGAAGCAUUGAUCGCUAUAAGGCACGUUUAGUUGCCAAGGAAUUCCACCAAUGUCCAGGUGUUGAUUUUCUCGAUACUUUCUCUCCUAUAGUUAAACCAACUACAAUAAGAAUUCUCCUUUCUCUUGCCGUAUCUUAUGAUUGGCUGAUUACCCAACUAGACGUCUCCAAUGCAUUCCUCAACUGUGACUUGGAUGAUACCAUCUUCAUGGAGCAACCUCCAGGUUUUAUGGAUCCGAAUAAGCCACACCAUAUUUGUAGACUCAAAAGAUCACUUUAUGGACUUCGUCAGGCUCCCCGUCAAUGGCACAAAAAAUUGGUGCAAGUAUUAGUUGAUCUUGGUUUUCAACCUUCUGCUGCAGAUUGUUCUCUUCUUCAUUAUCAACAAAAUGGUAUGAAGAUUUAUUGUAUGAUGUACGUGGAUGAUAUCUUGCUCACUGGCACUAGUUCAUCUUUUAUCACUUCUCUUAUUGCACCCCUGCAACAACAUUUCAACGUAAGAAAUAUGGGUAAUGUUGACUAUUUUUGUAACACCCUCCCUGUAGCAACUUC